UACGUAGGUGGCAAGCGUUGUCCGGAAUUAUUGGGCGUAAAGCGCGAGCAGGCGGCUACAUAAGUCAGAUGUGAAAGCCUCAGGCUCAACCGGGGAGGGCCAUUGGAAACUGGGAGGCUUGAGUAUAGGAGAGAAGAGUGGAAUUCCACGUGUAGCGGUGAAAUGCGUAGAGAUGUGGAGGAACACCAGUGGCGAAGGCGACUCUUUGGCCUAUAACUGACGCUGAGGCGCGAAAGCGUGGGGAGCGAACAGG
rnacentral:misc_RNA from 1 species